rnacentral:lncRNA from 1 species
CCCAAAUGAAAUCCAUGAAAGUAGAAAAAGAAAAUGCCAGGAAGAAGAAAACAGUCAAUGAAUUUACUAAGGUAUUGUUCACGCAUUUGAGCACAGAUCAUCAAGAUGAUAAUUAAGUUCUUGUUAAGUCUUAGCAUAGUAACCUCACCUGUGGAACCAUGGAUCCAGUGACGCUGGGCACUUUCAGGGCAUAAAAUACAUUGAUGAUGCCUGUUGGCUCUUUCAUAUGCUUGAAGGACACCUGUGGCAGUGAAUUUACUUGGGAAGCAUAAGACAUAGAAACAUGUUCCAUGUUUUCCAGUGAGAUCCAGAUUUCUUAAGACCUGGGUGACGUAACAGAUGAGCAACUUCCUCAGUGAAACUAGUGGACAAAACCAGGUGUGGGGGGAGAAAAUUUGUUGUGGUGGCAGAGCAUGACAGGAGCUGAAGGUCGUGAUUCCCCGGGGUACUGCAGUUUCAGCAGUGGUCCAGAGCUGUACGAUAUGAACAGGAGACUCACCAGGUAUUGCACAGCAUCACCUUGCACAAUAGUGGAACACAGCCUACCAUGAGCUGCAGGCUUCCC